rnacentral:rRNA from 1 species
GCUGCAAGCCCAGAGGAUUCAGCUGGCUAGGAUGUUGUGUAUGCGCCUGGCGCAUCUAUCAGCCGGAGUAAGAUGUGAUAGUCCACUGGUAAACGGUGGGCCCGGCCGCAAGGUUGGGAUAUGUGUACCGGGCGGAAGCCGGAGCAUGCUAUUCGUCUGUUGGGCUGUCUAGUCAGUGCACUUUCUCUGUGGUGAACACCACGACCGGUGGAAUUGCCAGUCUGCUGUAGUCAAGUCGUAUUCAGUCGGUUCUUGUAGUCAACUGGGUGCGAUCACAGGCAAACUCAGUAAACGGCGUAGGGGUGUCUCGGCAUCCUUACGUGUUAUCGGCUGCUGGUUGUCAACGGGCCUGCUUGAUGAUUGUUGUAACCGUCAUUAGGUGGUCUGGUGGGCUAUGGUGGUAAGAAUAACUGUGCAAGGCAUCGGAGUUCUCGGCCUCAAAUGCAUCCUGCAUACACGUUACAAGUGGAGUGGGGUGCCAUUGCAGCCUGCCUGUUGUUGGGUCUGAUUGUCGUGU